CUUCUACGCUGUGGAAGCUUUGUUCUUUCACUCUUUGCAAUAAAUCUUGCUGCUGCUCGCUCUUUGGGGCCACACUGCCUUUAUGAGCUGUAACACUCACCGGGAGGGUCUGCAGCUUCACUCCUGAAGCCAGCGAGACCACCAACCCACCAGAAGGAAGAAACUCCGAACACGUCUGAACAUCAGAAGGAAAAGACUCCGGACACGCCGCCUUUGAGAACUGUAACACUCACCGCGAGGGGCCACGGCUUCAUUCUUGAAUGAGAUGAACCCGGUACCUCAGAUGGAAAUGCAGAAAUCACCCGUCUUCUGCGUCGCUCACGCUGGGAGCUGUAGACCGGAGCUGUUCCUAUUCGGCCAUCUUGGCUCCUCCCUCUGAAGGCUACAGACACUUAUUGAGCAUCUACUAGAUGCCAAAUUCUGUGCUGCUGCUACAAUCCAUUGAGACUUUAACACCCACAUGG
rnacentral:lncRNA from 1 species